AACGAACGCUGGCGGCAUGCCUAACACAUGCAAGUCGAACGAGAUCUUCGGGUCUAGUGGCGCACGGGUGCGUAACGCGUGGGAAUCUGCCCUUUGGUUCGGAAUAACAGUUGGAAACGACUGCUAAUACCGGAUGAUGACGAAAGUCCAAAGAUUUAUCGCCAGAGGAUGAGCCCGCGUAGGAUUAGCUAGUUGGUGUGGUAAAGGCGCACCAAGGCGACGAUCCUUAGCUGGUCUGAGAGGAUGAUCAGCCACACUGGGACUGAGACACGGCCCAGACUCCUACGGGAGGCAGCAGUGGGGAAUAUUGGACAAUGGGCGAAAGCCUGAUCCAGCAAUGCCGCGUGAGUGAUGUAGGCCUUAGGGUUGUAAAGCUCUUUUACCCGGGAUGAUAAUGACAGUACCGGGAGAAUAAGCUCCGGCUAACUCCGUGCCAGCAGCCGCAGUAA
rnacentral:rRNA from 1 species